rnacentral:rRNA from 1 species
UACAGAGGUGGCGAGCGUUAUUCGGAAUCAUUGGGCGUAAAGCGCGUGUAGGCGGCCCGGUAAGUCCGCUGUGAAAGUCGGGGGCUCAACCCUCGAAUGCCGGUGGAUACUGUCGGGCUAGAGUGCGGAAGAGGCGAGUGGAAUUCCUGGUGUAGCGGUGAAAUGCGCAGAUAUCAGGAGGAACACCAAUUGCGAAGGCAGCCCCCUGGGCCAGCACUGACGCUCAUGCACGAAAGCGUGGGGAGCAAACAGG